rnacentral:tRNA from 1 species
GCCGACAGGCGAGCGGCGACGCGCGGAACUUAGAAUCCUGUGACCCUUUGGCUCGUGCGGGUUCGAUCCCCGCCCUCGGCACCA